UACAGAGGGUGCAAGCGUUGCUCGGAUUUACUGGGCGUAAAGCGUACGCAGACGGUAAGGAAGGUCGAAUGUGAAAGCCCCGGGCUCAACCCGGGAAAUGCAUCCGAAACCACCUUGCUCGAGUAUGAGAGAGGGAAGCGGAAUUCCUGGUGUAGAGGUGAAAUUCGUAGAUAUCCGGAGGAACACCGGUGGCGAAGGCGGCUUCCUGGACCGACACUGACGCUGAGGCGCGAAAGCUAGGGGAGCAAACGGG
rnacentral:rRNA from 1 species